AAAACUCAUAGAAAACAACAGAAAACAAACAAAAGUAACAGAGAAAAAAAGUGUGGUCUUCAAUGAAACAAAGAAAUAUCUAUAACCUCAGAUCCUAAACUAUGAAGGAUAUGUGCCAAAUGCAUGGAACUUAAGCCAAAAUGAGAAAAAAAAUAUCCAGAAUGAGCAGUCUUCUCUUUGGAUCUUAAGCUAAAACUUUUUUUGGGCAGCCAUGUGAGAAUACGACUACCCUGCUGAGGAAAUCACAUGAAGAGAUUAAGUGGAGAAAUGUGGAGGAAAGGCUUUGCGACUGCAUGGGGCAACCAUCCCAGCCUGCGAGUGGAGCGCCCAAAUGACUCCAGUCCUCACUGUUGUCAUCUGACUGCAGCUGCAGGAGAGACCCGAGGUAUGGGAAAGAAAAGGCAAUUUUCAAGCAGACCUAAAAGAAGAAUUGAAAACUAAGGAUUUUUGGUUAACGAGUAUUACUCCCAAGGAGAUGGAAUUACAUUUGGGCCUGAUUUAGAGGAUUUCUUGAACUUAGCACUUAGGAUGAAAUCUGUUUGAGUACUGGAAAUGUGUUAGUGAACUUUACAUGGAAGAGGACUAUAAAUAACUUGUGAGCCAAGGACUACUGCAAGAAAUUAAAGAUGACUGUAUCUUCUUCACUUCUCCGUUGAGAGUUCUUUUGGAGAGCUCUGAACUUCCACUUAAGAAGUCUAAUUAUAGUGCAGAAGAGAAUAUAUAUCGAAAGAUUAUGAGCGGUAGAAAGACCCUGAGAAUACAUGAAAAUAAGAGAAGUUUUGCUGUUACCUACCACGUCCCAACCAGGUUUCCAGAUUACUCUUGCUCCACCUGCCAUCUGAGAACCACUGCAUGGGCAACCUCAAAUACGACCUGCCGAAACUUUCCAGGGAAGUCCUGAAAACCCACAGGACUGUGAGAGAAGAUAAGUGGUGCUUGUUUUAAGUCACUGAAGUUUGCGGUGGUUUGUUAAAUAGCAACAAAUAACUGGAACACUAUCAUCAUUAUUAUUUAAUAUUGUUUAGAAAAUUCUUGCCAAUAAUAAUUGUCAACAGAAAGAUAGAACACAUAUGAGAAUGGGAGGAGAAUGCAAAAUCAUUAUUCUUAUUGCAUAUGGUAUAAUUCAUGAUUGGAAAUUCAAGAGAAAUGAUGUUUGCUAAGCUACUUGUUCUCAAAAUUAAUAUACAAAAAUUGUUAGCUUUGCAA